UGAACUUGACGCCUGUCAGGCCCCGCU
rnacentral:piRNA from 1 species